rnacentral:misc_RNA from 1 species
UCCCUGUUACCAGGGCAGUCUAGCUAGAAAAAUUCAACUAACUACAAGGGUUGCGCUCGUUGAUGGACUUAACCAAACAUCUCACGACACGAGCUGACGACGGCCAUGCAGUACCUGUCACUGCGCUCCCGAAGGCACAGUCUCCUUUCGGAGACCUUCGCAGGAUGUCAAGCCUGGGUAAGGUUCUUCGCUUACCAUCGAAUUAAACAACACGCUCCACCGCUUGUGCGGGUCCCCGUCAAUUCCUUUAUGUUUUAAGCUUGCGCUCGUACUCCACAGGCGGGAUGCUUAACGCGUUAGCUUCGCUACUACGCGGGUCGAUACGCGUAACAGCUAGCAUCCAUAGUUUACGGCGUGGACUAC